AGUUAUUUAGCUUAAAUAAAAGUAUAUAUUUUGAAAAUAUAGGAUAGAUGAUAUUUAUUAACUU
rnacentral:tRNA from 1 species